rnacentral:lncRNA from 1 species
UUGAAACUGAACAACUUCUAGCGUAUCAAUCUGUGGAUAAGAUUAACACAAAACGACGACGUUUCGCCUGGCGAUUUUGACCAGACAACAAAAUUGAACCUGAGAGUAUACUUUUACCGAUUUAUGAAUGUACGUAUACUUUUACAGUUAUACUGUUAUACAUACACAAAACUGAACCUGAAUAUCGAUAUAAUCGAAAUCGAACAACAAACCCUAGGGGUACCGAAUUGCGGAUAAGAUUAACACAAAACGAUGACGUUUCGUCUGGCGAUUUUGAUUGGAAAAACUUAAAUUAGGGUUCGGUUAACCCUAAAAACGGUAAUUUGGGUAAUUGAGAUCGAUGAUUGCUUCUAGCUGUGCAAAUUGAGUGCAGGUGAGUACUGUGAUAGGUGGAUUGUGCAAAUUGGUGGUGAAUUUUGGUGAGAGUUUGGUGAUUUUGGAGGUUAUUGUGAAGAUGGUUUGUGGUGAAAUUAGGGUUUGG